CCUACGGGAGGCAGCAGUGGGGGAUAUUGCACAAUGGGGGGAACCCUGAUGCAGCGACGCCGCGUGGGUGAAGGAGGGCUUCGGCAUGUAAAGCCCUAUCGGCAGGGAAGAAGCAAGACGGGACCUGACUAAGAAGCCACGGCUAACUACGUGCCAGCAGCCGCGGGAAUACGUAGGGGGCGAGCGUGAGCCGGAUCCACUGGGUGGAAAGGGAGGGUAGACGGCCAGGCAAGCCAGGGGGGAAAGCCCGGGGCCCAACCCCGGGACUGCCCUUGGAACUGCAUGGCUGGAGUGCGGGAGGGGCAGGCGGAAUUCCUGGUGUAGCGGUGAAAUGCGUAGAUAUCAGGAGGAACACCGGCGGCGAAGGCGGCCUGCUGGACCGCGACUGACGUUGAGGCUCGAAAGCGUGGGGAGCGAACAGGAUUAGAUACCCGUGUAGUC
rnacentral:rRNA from 1 species